CGUUCAAAAUUCUUUGGGAAUACCCCCCCCAAAAAAAAAGCAUGGGGGCAAUGCAGUUUCUUCCCUCAAGGAACCCUCUCUAGAGUAGAAGGAUGGGAAUAUUCACAGAUGUCUGUAUUUCAAAAUAAGAUUUAGCUGCUGCGUUCCAGACUACAUCCAGCUGCCUGUUUGCAUCUCCACCCGAAUGUCUUAAGGUCUCCUCAAUUCCCAAAGUCCAAAACGGAAUUUAUCAUCGCCUGCUCCCUUCCUACACCUUCCAUCCCCAAUCCUCCUUUUGAGUUCCUCAUCUCAGCAACACACCUCAGCUGCCCAGCUUAAUAAGAGGACACACCACCCCACCUCACCCCAUCAAUACAGUUACUCAAAGCCAGAAA